rnacentral:rRNA from 1 species
UACGUAGGGUGCAGGCGUUAAUCGGAAUUACUGGGCGUAAAGCGUGCGUAGACGGUUAUGUAAGUCGGGUGUGAAAGCCCCGGGCUCAACCUGGGAAUUGCAUUCGAGACUGUGUAGCUAGGGUACGGAAGAGGGAAGCGGAAUUUCAGGUGUAGCGGUGAAAUGCGUAGAUAUCUGAAGGAACACCAGUGGCGAAAGCGGCUUCCUGGUCCAGUACCGACGUUCAGGCACGAAAGCGUGGGGAGCAAACAGG